rnacentral:rRNA from 1 species
UUCGGUGGUAAUGGCGGUGAGGUCACACCUCUAUCCAUUCCGAACAGAGAAGUUAAGCUCACCAGCGCCGAUGGUACUGCCCUGGAGACGGGGUGGGAGAGUAGGACACUGCCGGAU